GGUGCGUAGGCGGCUUAGCAAGUCAGGCGUGAAAACUAUGGGCUUAACCCAUAGACUGCGUUUGAAACUGUUGAGCUUGAGUGAAGUAGAGGUAGGCGGAAUUCCCGGUGUAGCGGUGAAAUGCGUAGAGAUCGGGAGGAACACCAGUGGCGAAGGCGGCCUACUGGGCUUUAACUGGCGCUGAGGCACGAAAGCAUGGGUAGCAAACAGGAUUAGAUACCCUGGUAGUCCAUGCCGUAAACGAUGAUUACUAGGUGUGGGGGGUCUGACCCCUUCCGUGCCGGAGUUAACACAAUAAGUAAUCCACCUGGGGAGUACGACCGCAAGGUUGAAACUCAAAGGAAUUGACGGGGGCCCGCACAAGCAGUGGAGUAUGUGGUUUAAUUCGAAGCAACGCGAAGAACCUUACCAGGUCUUGACAUCCUAGGAACGGCUAAGAGAUUAGCUGGUGCCUUUCGGGGAAUCUAGAGACAGGUGGUGCAUGGUUGUCGUCAGCUCGUGUCGUGAGAUGUUGGGUUAAGUCCCGCAACGAGCGCAACCCUUGUGAUUAGUUGCUACGCAAGAGCACUCUAAUCAGGCUGCCGUUGACAAAACGGAGGAAGGUGGGGACGACGUCAAAUCAUCAUGCCCUUUAUGACCUGGGCUACACACGUACUACAAUGGUCGCUAACAGAGGGAGGCAAUACCGCGAGGUGGAGCAAAACCCCAAAAGCGAUCUCAGUUCGGAUUGUAGGCUGCAACCCGCCUACAUGAAGUUGGAAUUGCUAAUAAUCGCGGAUCAGAAUGCCGCGGUGAAUACGUUCCCGGGCCUUGUACACACCGCCCGUCACACCAUGGGAGCCGGUAAUACCCGAAGUCAGUAGUCUAACCGCAAGGAGGACG
rnacentral:rRNA from 1 species